rnacentral:rRNA from 1 species
UACGUAGGGUGCAAGCGUUGUCCGGAAUCAUUGGGCGUAAAGCGCGCGUAGGUGGCUUCGUAAGUCCGUUGUGAAAGUCAAAGGCUCAACCUUUGAAUGCCGAUGGAUACUGCGAAGCUAGAGUACGGAAGAGGCGAGUGGGAAUUCCUGGUGUAGCGGUGGAAUGCGCAGAUAUCAGGAGGAACACCAAUAGCGAAGGCAGCUCGCUGGGACGUUACUGACACUAAGGCGCGAAAGCGUGGGGAGCGAACAGG